UACGGGGGGGGCAAGCGUUGUUCGGAAUUACUGGGCGUAAAGGGCUCGUAGGCGGCCAACUAAGUCAUACGUGAAAUCCCUCAGCUUAACUGGGGAACUGCGUGUGAUACUGGAUGGCUUGGAUUUGGGAGAGGGAUGCGGAAUUCCAGGUGUAGCGGUGAAAUGCGUAGAUAUCUGGAGGAACACCGGUGGCGAAGGCGACUCGCUGGACAGGUGUUGACGCUGAGGUGCGAAAGCGUGGGGAGCAAACAGG
rnacentral:rRNA from 1 species